UACAGAGGGUGCGAGCGUUGUUCGGAAUUACUGGGCGUAAAGCGCGCGCAGGCGGCUCUUUAAGUCUCGUGGUCAAAUGCCGGGGCUCAACCCCGAGCGUGCCGGGGAUACUGGAGGGCUGGAGACAGGUAGAGGCAAGCGGAAUUCCGGGUGUAGCGGUGGAAUGCGUAGAGAUCCGGAAGAACACCGGUGGCGAAGGCGGUCUGCUGGGCAGUUGCUGACACUGAUGCGCGACAGCGUGGGGAGCAAACAGG
rnacentral:rRNA from 1 species